rfam:Schistosoma margrebowiei strain Zambia genome assembly, scaffold: SMRZ_scaffold0000478
AUCUAGCUAACGAGUGCCAAAUAGGACGAAACGCGCGUCCUGGAU